CUCUUGUUUGGCACAACCGGUGCUAUUCAGUCCAAGAACGUCACUAACGGAGAAACAUCAUGGUUUCACGAGGCAAACUUGGUGUUUUCUACGCGCUUCUUAUCAUCACUGCAUUAAUCUCAGCUUCCUGCGUUGAAUCGGCACCGAGCGGGAAACUGGACAAUGAGAUAGGCGAUGACCGUGAAAAACGGUUUUGGUGGGGUCUCCUGUUUAAAGGGGUCUCAGCCCUCGUUGGUGUAUUUACGAAGAAGAAAGAUAAUAAUCAGAGUGGGUAAUGUUUCGAAAGAGAUGGGACACGGCAACACUUACGGACCUUUCUGAUGGGCUCAUUGUAUGAUAUAACAACACCUACAAAAAUAAAGUGAAUCAUUAUGAAGCUCAA